rnacentral:rRNA from 1 species
ACGAACGCUGGCGGCGUGCUUAACCCAUGCAAGUCGAACGGAAAGGCCCCUUUGGGGGUACUCGAGUGGCGAACGGGUGAGUAACACGUGAGUAACCUGCCCUUGACUUCGGGAUAACUUCAGGAAACUGGGGCUGAUACCGGAUAGGAAUCCUUGCUGCAUGGUGGGGGUUGGAAAGCUUCGGCGGUUUUGGAUGGACUCGCGGCUUAUCAGCUUGUUGGUGGGGUAGUGGCUUACCAAGGCUUUGACGGGUAGCCGGCCUGAGAGGGCGACCGGCCACAUUGGGACUGAGAUACGGCCCAGACUCCUACGGGAGGCAGCAGUGGGGAAUAUUGCACAAUGGGCGGAAGCCUGAUGCAGCAACGCCGCGUGCGGGAUGACGGCCUUCGGGUUGUAAACCGCUUUCAGCAGGGGCGAAGCUUGUGGUGACGGUACCUGCAGAAGAAGCACCGGCUAACUACGUG